GCUAAUACAUGCAAGUCGAGCGGAUCUUCAUUAGCUUGCUUUUGAAGAUCAGCGGCGGACGGGUGAGUAACACGUGGGCAACCUGCCUGUAAGACUGGGAUAACUUCGGGAAACCGGAGCUAAUACCGGAUAAUCCUUUUCCUCUCAUGAGGAAAAGCUGAAAGACGGUUUCGGCUGUCACUUACAGAUGGGCCCGCGGCGCAUUAGCUAGUUGGUGAGGUAACGGCUCACCAAGGCGACGAUGCGUAGCCGACCUGAGAGGGUGAUCGGCCACACUGGGACUGAGACACGGCCCAGACUCCUACGGGAGGCAGCAGUAGGGAAUCUUCCGCAAUGGACGAAAGUCUGACGGAGCAACGCCGCGUGAGCGAUGAAGGCCUUCGGGUCGUAAAGCUCUGUUGUCAGGGAAGAACAAGUAUCGGAGUAACUGCCGGUACCUUGACGGUACCUGACCAGAAAGCCACGGCUAACUACGUGCCAGCAGCCGCGGUAAUACGUAGGUGGCAAGCGUUGUCCGGAAUUAUUGGGCGUAAAGCGCGCGCAGGCGGUUCCUUAAGUCUGAUGUGAAAGCCCCCGGCUCAACCGGGGAGGGUCAUUGGAAACUGGGGAACUUGAGUGCAGAAGAGGAGAGCGGAAUUCCACGUGUAGCGGUGAAAUGCGUAGAGAUGUGGAGGAACACCAGUGGCGAAGGCGGCUCUCUGGUCUGUAACUGACGCUGAGGCGCGAAAGCGUGGGGAGCGAACAGGAUUAGAUACCCCUGGUAGUCCACGCCGUAAACGAUGAGUGCUAAGUGUUAGA
rnacentral:rRNA from 1 species